rnacentral:rRNA from 1 species
UGGGGAAUAUUGCACAAUGGGCGAAAGCCUGAUGCAGCGACGCCGCGUGGGGGAUGACGGUCUUCGGAUUGUAAACUCCUUUCAGUAGGGACGAAGCGAAAGUGACGGUACCUGCAGAAGAAGCACCGGCCAACUACGUACCAGCAGCCGCGGUAAUACGUAGGGUGCAAGCGUUGUCCGGAAUUACUGGGCGUAAAGAGCUCGUAGGCGGUUUGUCACGUCGUCUGUGAAAUCCUCCAGCUCAACUGGGGGCGUGCAGGCGAUACGGGCAGACUUGAGUACUACAGGGGAGACUGGAAUUCCUGGUGUAGCGGUGAAAUGCGCAGAUAUCAGGAGGAACACCGGUGGCGAAGGCGGGUCUCUGGGUAGUAACUGACGCUGAGGAGCGAAAGCAUGGGGAGCAAACAGG